rnacentral:rRNA from 1 species
UACAGAGGUGCCAAGCGUUAUGCGGAAUCACUGGGCUUAAAGCGUGUGUAGGCGGAUUCCUAAGUACCUUGUGAAAUCCCACGGCUCAACCGUGGAACUGCUCGGUAUACUGGGUAUCUUGAGCCACUUAGGGGCGACCGGAACAAAUGGUGGAGCGGUGAAAUGCGCAGAUAUCAGGAGGAACACCGGUGGCGAAGGCGAUCAUCUGGGGUUGUUCUGACACUGAGGAGCGAAAGCUAGGGGAGCAAACGGG